UUUUUUUUUGAUGUUAUAGGAUUUUUUUUUUUUUGUGAAAUGAGUAUAUGAGUUUUGAUUUUUGUUCUAGAUUUAGGGUUUUUUGAACUAAUUAUUGGUGUGAUAGAUGAGAUGAUUUAUUCUGUGAAAUGAUUUAGGGUUUUUGAAUUUCAAGUGGAAGAUAUAUUGAACAAACAAAAUGGAUUGUAGUUUUAAUUAUACAAAAUUUUCUGUCGAUUCUUAAUAUUAACUCCAAUACUAAUUUAACAAUGAUUUUUUCUCAUUGCUGAAAUUGUAGUUCUAUUUCACUGCUCCUAAUUUUUGUCUAUUUCAUUUUCACUUCAUACACUAUAUACAGCAGCAGAAGUGGGUCUUUCUUUUUUUCUUUUUGACAAAGGUCUCCUAUUUAAUAUCACGUCCCUCCAAAGUGUCUCCAAAAUUCAUAAUUGAUUGGUUCCACAAUUCCCUCAACCCACAAUAUGAGACCUCACAACACUCAAAAAACAGCAACCUCAUGCAACCUGAAAAACAGAGUAUAUAUACAAAUAUUUAUAAAUAGUUAAUCAAUACACUCUCAAUAUGGUCAGUGAGAGGUGUGUAGUAUAACUUCCUCACAACACUCAAACCUCUAUGAAAUGGUUUAACACUCAUAACAGCUCCUUGUAACCUGCACAAUAAACAAAACAUUUGGAAACACUCAAUAUAUCUUCACAAUCACCCAACCCACAUUUAAUGAACUCCCAUCCCUCAUUUCUCUUCCCAAAUGAUUGGGGCUAUUCUUCAAUAUUGAAUCUGGCAAUUUCCAUGUGUCAAGGAACCACCUGUCACCUAGAUGGCUUUUCAGGUUAGAAACAGAUAACAUACGGAAUCUUACCAUGUCAAUAAUAUGCUUGACAACCACUUCCUCAUGGAGGAAUUCAUCAUCAAAUAAGUGACAGCAUUUUUUUCAAAAUCUCUUCGUUAGAAUAGUAUAUGAUAUCAAAGGAGCUCCUAGUUUCAGUCUUAUAGCCAUGAGAGGAUAUUCAAAACUUUUAUAUUCCUCCCACAGUGAAACUUUGAUUCCCAUCUUUUAUAUCUUUCAUUCUCCUUUCUUCUUCUUUCCCCCAUCACCUCGCAAUUCAGUUGUGAAACUAAGUGGGUUCUGCAGGAGAUGUGCAUGGAGCAACUGCUAGUGCUGGUUUGCGGUUCACGUGAUUGCUGCAUGGCUUCUUUGUUUCCAGGCUUAAAUGGAUUUUUGUUUGUUUGUUUGAGUCAAUCAAACCUGUGUUUUGGAUCAAAGAAAUAAUUAAGUUGACUGGCCUUCGGACCUCGUAGCUUUCUGCUUUGGAAACUAUCAUGAGGCAUCUUAAUACACAACCUUCUACUAUUUUGAUGUUUCUUGAGCUAAGGAGAUGAAGUAGAAAUUGAGCCCGAUCCUGCAACAUGGACAGCCUUAGAGGAGGAACUUUAUAUUCAGUUAAUGGUGAAAGAGGUUCACAAAGGGAAUAGAUCAUCAACCACCUUUUCAAGGAAAGGUUGGAAACAAAUUGAACAAGAGUUCUGUGAGAAAACCAACAAGAGGUACAACAAUUCUCAGUUUAGAAAUAAGUUUAACCAGCUGAGAACCCGUUUUAAUGAUUUUAGUAAGCUGUUGAAGGAACCUGGGUUUACUUGGGAACCCGUGCUCAGUACUGUAACCGCAACUGAUGCUGUUUGGGAAUCAUACAUAAAGGGAAACAAAAAUGUGAAGAGAUUUCGGAAAAAAGGGUGCCCAAUGUUUAAUGAGUUAGGAAUCAUAUUUGGGGACCCAACAUCAAGUUACAAAGAUGUAUUUCCAUUAGCUCAAUAUCCAAUGGUCAGUGAAUAUAAAUUGGAUGUAGAAGAUGAGUCAACAAAUGCUACUCCAUCCGCUUUCCCAAGUGACAGUAGCAAUGGUAGAGAUUUUCCCUCGCAAAGUACUAGACGCCAUCGCCAAUGAUCUUCCACUCCUACGAGCCAUCUUAGAGGGAAGAGGGAGGCAAGAACAGUAGUGGAGGGUGAGGCAUUGAAGGAAUGGACUGAAGCUACAGUUCCCCCGGGGAUGUCUGAUAGAAAAUGGGCUAAAACUAGUAAGAUAAUGACCCCAACUUUACAUAAACUUGAGACAUCUUCCCAAGCUAGUCCAUUCUCAAUUACCAAUUGUGUCAAGUGUCUAGAAGCGAUUGAAGGAGUGGAUUCAAGUACCUACAUAAAGGCAAUCAAGAUGUUUAAGGAUUUAGAUUGGAGGGAGAUGUUUAUGGCAAUGUCUCCUGAAAGAAGAUUGGUUUGGUUGGCUAGCUUAGAGUAGUUUUGCUUGCUAUGAUUUUAGGUUUCUUAAUCUAUGGAACAUGUUAAGAUAUUUCAACAUUAAUAUGCACUCAGUACCAACAUGUACACUUUCACCUUUUUGUGUGGCACGUAAUUCUUAGUCUGAUGGGAUGGGUUAAGAUGUUGGAGCAAUAAAAGGUGUAGGAGUAACCUAAUCUCAAUUCGAACAGAAUGUAAAUUGCUUAUUAUUUAAAAAAUGCCGUUAUUGAUUAAAAAAAAAUGAUGGCUCAAACCCA